UACGGAGGGUGCGAGCGUUGUCCGGAAUCACUGGGCGUAAAGGGCGCGUAGGUGGCGCUCCAAGUCCUUGGUGAAAGCUCGAUGCUCAACAUCGAGUCGGCCACGGAUACUGGGGUGCUCGAGCACUGUAGAGGCAGAUGGAAUUCCGGGUGUAGCGGUGGAAUGCGUAGAGAUCCGGAAGAACACCGGUGGCGAAGGCGGUCUGCUGGGCAGUUGCUGACACUGAGGCGCGACAGCGUGGGGAGCAAACAGG
rnacentral:rRNA from 1 species